rnacentral:lncRNA from 1 species
UUCGUCGAUGGCUCUGUUGGCGUCUUCGAUGCUGAAAGCUUACGACCACGAUGCAGGCUUGCCCCAUCUGUGCACAUACCUCCGGGAGUGAGUGGGUAUGUAAUCUGCACUGAUUUGAAGUAUUGUAUUUCAUCCGAUUCAGAUGCACCUGUAUACCAAAUUACUUAGGUGGAUUCAUGCAUCAUCUUGGAACACAGUAUGUUUUUGUUUCGUUUCUUUUUUGUAACGUCUGACUUGAAACUAAUGAUUUUUGUUGGUGUUGCAGAUCGACAGUUUACCCCUUAGUGAUUGCUGCGCAUCCCGCAGAGCCAAACCAAUUUGCAUUGGGCUUGAGUGAUGGAGGUGUACAAGUAAUAGAGCCACUAGAAUCUGAGGGGAAAUGGGGGACGGGGCCCCCUGCAGACAAUGGAACAGCUAGUGGUGUACCAUCUGGUCCUGCUUCUGGCAACCAAGGAUCAGACCAAACCCCAAGAUGAUGUACAGUUGUGACUACAAAGAGCUUUUGUAGCAGUUGUAGCUGCGCAGCUUACAAUUGGGGGACUGUACCUCUUUCUCAACAUAUGCAUGCAAGGCCCAUGAUUUCUUCUGUUUGCAAGAUAGUGAAGAUGGGUCUAUUCUUGAGUUCCAGAGACUGAUUCAUGGCCUGUGGCCUGCGACCCGGGGUUUGGAUUCAUUUUUGUGAGCUCGUUGUAGA